rnacentral:rRNA from 1 species
AUGAGAGGCACCGGCUUGGUUUCCUCGCUGACAGUAAUCCUGCUCCUCCUCGGAUACCUUGCAGUUAUAGCACAGUGUCGUUUGGAGGCUGGAAGAAGGAGCUACCAGGAGGAUCAUACCGGAGCUACUACAGUCAACGCGACAUCAUUAGAUGAGAGCAAGCUCAACCUACGUUUCUGCACGGGCCAUGUAUGUCGUAAACCUCCGAGGCCCUGUUACUGCUGUGAGCUUGUGCCGCCGGACCAGCCGUGCUUCCCUUCCAAAGAGGAGUGCUGGCAAAAAUGUCCCGCCUGUGACCCCAAGUGUCCCGGCCCACCUGCCACGGAGUUGCAUGCAUGA